rnacentral:rRNA from 1 species
UACGAAGGGGGCUAGCGUUGUUCGGAAUUACUGGGCGUAAAGCGCGCGCAGGCGGUUCUUCAAGUCAGAGGUGAAAGCCCAGAGCUCAACUCUGGAAUGGCCUUUGAGACUAGAGAACUAGGGUACGGGAGAGGUGAGUGGAAUUCCGAGUGUAGAGGUGAAAUUCGUAGAUAUUCGGAAGAACACCAGUGGCGAAGGCGACUUACUGGACACAUAUUGACGCUGAGGUGCGAAAGCGUGGGGAGCGAACAGG